rnacentral:rRNA from 1 species
AUUGAACGCUGGCGGCAUGCCUUACACAUGCAAGUCGAACGGCAGCACGGGAGCAAUCCUGGUGGCGAGUGGCGAACGGGCGAGUAAAGUAUCGGAACGUGCCCAGUCGUGGGGGAUGACGUAGCGAAAGUUACGCUAAUACCGCAUACGAUCUAUGGAUGAAAGCGGGGGAUCGCAAGACCUCGCGCGAUUGGAGCGGCCUAUAUCAGAUUAGGUAGUUGGUGGGGUAAAGGCUCACCAAGCCGACGAUCUGUAGCUGGUCUGAGAGGACGACCAGCCACACUGGGACUGAGACACGGCCCAGACUCCUACGGGAGGCAGCAGUGGGGAAUUUUGGACAAUGGGCGAAAGCCUGAUCCAGCCAUGCCGCGUGCAGGAUGAAGGCCUUCGGGUUGUAAACUGCCUUUGUACGGAACGAAAAGGUUUGGCCUAAUAAGCUGAGCUCAUGACGGUACCGUAAGAAUAAGCACCGGCUAACUACGUGCCAGCAGCCGCCGUAA